rnacentral:rRNA from 1 species
ACUGGUCUAAGGAGUUGCGAACGGGUGAGUAACGCGUAGGUAACCUACCUCAUAGCGGGGGAUAACUAUUGGAAACGAUAGCUAAUACCGCAUGACAAUAGGGUACACAUGUACCUAUUUAAAAGGGGCAAAUGCUUCACUAUGAGAUGGACCUGCGUUGUAUUAGCUAGUUGGUAAGGUAACGGCUUACCAAGGCGACGAUACAUAGCCGACCUGAGAGGGUGAUCGGCCACACUGGGACUGAGACACGGC